AGAAAUGGAAUACAUGUUAUUCAGGGCAGAUAAGAACCAUGGACAAUUUUGGCCGAAGCUAUUAAAAGUUUACCAUAAAAUACAUUGGUAAACAGAUGAUGACUUUGUUACAAAUGGUGCAUCAUCAGGAUGCAGGUUAGAGGGAAUAAAAGAAUUCAAUAGGUCUAAUGGAAUAAAUGAAAGAACCCUUCAUCAGAUUUGCAGGUUUCUUUGAUAAGCCCUUCCCCUUCGACUACUCAGCUGCAUCCUGUGACCUGUUCCACUGCCAAACAGACUGUUUAUACAUUAGUAGAAACUAUAGUAGUAUUGCAAACAAGGCAUCUUUUGCUCUUGGGAUUCACUCUUAAUGUCAUUACAUGCAAAGAAAUAGCCAUUCACUUGCUUACAACAUUGUAAUUAAAACAUCCUAUAUGCUCCACGAUAGUAACCAUACGAUGCAUUAUGAAACACUCCAUUGAAUGCCUUCUGUUACCAGAAAAAUCUGACUGCCUAAAUGCCCCUAGCGAGCGAUUAUUGCACACGACCUCGCAUCAGAUUUAAAGACCUUGUUUGCAACAUGUCCUUGCUGCAUGUCAUAGAAUUGCUGCCUUGGAAGAAUGAUCUUAACACAUGUUUGAGUUACUAGAGAAAUAAUUUGUGCUUUGUAGUUACAAAUAUGUUGGAAGUCCUUGCAUAUCGAGAUUUCUCCUCACUAUUGCCACAUGAUUCGCCCAGCUAAAGAUGCUACUCAUUAUUUGAGGGGUCAGUGUUAACUAUUUCAGAAGGGCUAGCAGCUGAGUGGAUACAAGGUGAUUGUGAUUGGACCCCUACUUCACUUUCUUUCAUAUUUAUGAUCCUUUGAAAGCUAAAAAAAUCGCAGAACAUUUGGCAAAUACUUGUGUCUCUAUCUACAUUUUUGCAGUGACUAUAGGACAGUACCAAACAUAAAAGAUCCAUACAUUAGAAUUGAUCGAGGCUUUGCAGUACCAAACAUGCAAGAGGUUUACAGAACAAACAGUGUUUGUCAAUCUGAUCAAAGUAAACCAUACAGGUUUUUCAGAACUUCAUAGAUAACCACUCACACUGUCAGAAAGAAUGGAUAAUUAAACAUAAAGAAUGGAUAAAGAUGCUGCAAGUGAUUAUGUACACAUACUUGCUUUGACUCAGGGUAGGUUACCAAAUAAUAUCCUCAUAUGAAAAUAUCAUCUUUUAGUAAUCACUGUUAGGUGGAUUACUACGCUUAUUUACUAGAGAUUUAGCCUACAAGUUAUUUCACAAGUUGGAAGUGCCUGUGAAAAACAAUAUUAAUUGCUUCAUCAUGUAAAAAAUUCUGUAUUUAGUUGAAGAAGAGGGGAUGCUAGUUUGGAAUUCAGACUGGACAUCAAUAAAGCAUUCAUGUGUGUUGGUUCGCACAGUUCUUAUGGAAGUUUUCCUAGUGUUGAAAGUGUCAUCAUUAAGAACAUAUAUCUAAUGCAUAUCUCUGUUCUUUCGCAUUAAAACUGAUGAGCGUGAGUUGUAAAUCAAACCGUAUCUGCUUCUUCUGAAGUUCCCUCGAGAGAAGUAAAUCUUUGUGUUUUAAUUAUUUUGGCACAUCGAUCAACAGACUUUUUUUUGAAAAAAAAGGACGACAUAAACUGUUGUCUUUUAUCCUUCACUUUGAUGGAAUAGAAGAAAACCUCUUUGGCAGUCCUUUAGAUUUGGACAGCACGUUACAUCAGGAGAAAUUUCAGAGAGAGAAGAAUGAGAACGUUGUAUUUGUUCUUGUAAGAUUCAGACAACAAUCAUAUAUAUUGAAGCCUCAUAUUAAAGAAAAUUUUCAUAAAGUAUUCCUAUCAAUAUGUUUUAGUGAGAUCACUUCAAUGUCGAGAAAAAGAUGUAUUUUAGCCGGCAGUGUGAUCAACAUGCAUGCUUAUCCAUGUGAAAUGUUUAUAACCACCAAGUUUUACAAAUUGGUUGAUGAACUGAGUGACGGAACAGCAACUAACUGAGGUGCAGAUUGAAAAAAAAAGAGAUGUAUCUAGUUUCCAGUACCUGUGGUGGGAGGAGUCAUUGGAGUGGGCUUGGAGAUGAUGGUAGGAAUGGUUGUCAUGGUGCCUGCGACUGUGGCAGCCGUUGGAGGGAAGAAGCCGGCGGCGACUCCCAACCCCUGGGACUGAUGCNN
rnacentral:lncRNA from 1 species